rnacentral:rRNA from 1 species
AGCGAACGUUUGCGGCGGGCUUAACACAUGCAAGUCGAACGAGAAUCCCUUCGGGGAGGAAAGUGGCGCACGGGUGCGUAACACGUGGAUAACCAACCCAUUGGUUUGGGACAACACCGGGAAACUGGUGCUAAUACCAGAUGUGUCGCAGCUGUCUUCAGGCGGUUGCGAGAAAGGCCCGCAAGGGUCGCCAACGGACGGGUCCGCGUCCCAUCAGCUAGUUGGUGAGGUAAUGGCUCACCAAGGCAAAGACGGGUAGCUGGUCUGAGAGGAUGAUCAGCCACACUGGAACUGAGACACGGUCCAGACUCCUACGGGAGGCAGCAGUGGGGAAUAUUGCGCAAUGGGCGAAAGCCUGACGCAGCCACGCCGCGUGAGCGAUGAAGGUCUUCGGAUCGUAAAGCUCUGUGGGGGGAGAAGAAGAAAGCGGUGAAGAGCCGGCCCUGACGGUAUCCCCUUAGCAAGCACCGGCUAACUCCGUGCCAGCAGCCGCGGU